GAGACUGAUUUGCGGCCAAUGCGGUCAUCCGCGACGGUGUUGCUUAUUAGGGAGACAUCCCACUUUCCCAAUAUUAUUUUUAACUUUCGAUUUCGUACGUUUGUUACCAUCGCAAAAUCAGUUUCUUUCCUACGGUUCUAUAAACAGAUACUUGUAAAAUGAGAAACCAUAGUAUCGCAUUAUUUUGGAUAAAGAUAAUUUUGGCUGGUGUUCUUGUGUGCCUUUAAAAUUGUUAUAAUAAAAGAAAAAAGGGGAACAAGGCAACAACUGAGGUCUUCUCCUAUUUAAUAAUCUAGGCCUAUAAUUUUUACCGAGUCUCCUCUUGUCUAUGGAUGCAACAUUUUUGUUUUAAAUUUAGCGGGAAGGCUGAGAGGGGAUAGAAUUUAAAUUUGGCAACGGUGCAUUCUUACACGAAAAAUAGAACAACAAAUUAAAUGACAAAAAUGUGAUCGUCGUGUCGUGUCUGAGUCUCCCAAACUCUUCCAUCUUUUCCAUCAUCAUACCUAUAGAUUUGAAUCCUGAGCCAGCCAUCAUCAACAAGAACAACAAAUGCAAGUUUCGCUUUGUACUGGUAUCCACUCGUCAUCGGCAACAGUCCCAAUGUCCCAUCUUCAUAGAUACCAGAUAAAACAUCGUCCUGUUUCCUUUCAUUGAAGGAUCCAUCGACGUCGGGCGAUUCAUCUCUUCUUCCCCUCCUUUAAAUCCCAUCUCUUUCCUCGUGUACGCCCAUGUGAAUGUGGGUGUAUUCACGAGGACCCCCUUACUUCUAUCCCGUGUAUGGCGUAUUUAGAAACUUUUCUGUGGCUGGAGGAAUUGGAGAUGCCUGGCUGUUUUUCCCAGGUUAAAAGGUAGGGGAAAUUUGAAUUAUUUUCCCUUUAUUUUGGUUGCGUCUUUUUGUGAGAGAAAAUCUUUUUUCUUUUUUUUCUCGUUCCUUUGGGUCAGCAUAGUUUCGACACAUCGGGACCGUGUCAAAACUGUGGGCUAAGGGCAAAAAAAACACGACUGUAAUCGCAUUAGGAUUAAUUCUGUCUUUUUUGUGAGUCAUCUUUUACUUUUCAACUUGGAAAAUAGGGAAAAGCUGAGGUCGUGAAUAAAACUCCCCUAUUGUACCUUUUAAUCUAGCCCUUACUGAACCCACGAAUAGCCUGUUGUUAUUGUUCGUGCAGAAAAACCCGUUUUAUCUUACUGUGGUUCUCUGCAAC